GAUGAACGCUGGCGGCGUGCCUAAUACAUGCAAGUCGAACGAGGUCUUCGGACCUAGUGGCGAACGGGUGAGUAACACGUUGGUACCUACCCCGAAGUGGGGAAUAACUGCCCGAAAGGGUGGCUAAUACCGCAUAAUACCGCAAGGUUAAAGCAGUAAUGCGCUUCGGGAGGGGCCUGCGUCCCAUUAGCUAGUUGGUAGGGUAAUGGCCCACCAAGGCGACGAUGGGUAGCUGGAUCGAGAGGUUGACCAGCCACACUGGGACUGAGAUACGGCCCAGACUCCUACGGGAGGCAGCAGUAAGGAAUCUUCCACAAUGGACGAAAGUCUGAUGGAGCAACGCCGCGUGCAGGAUGACGGCCUUCGGGUUGUAAACUGCUUUUAUACGGGAAGAUUAUGACGGUACCGUAUGAAUAAGGACCGGCUAACUACGUGCCAGCAGCCGCGGUAA
rnacentral:rRNA from 1 species